UGCGCGCCACCCGCAGCGGCACUUCCGGGAGCGGUGGCAGCUCGGGCGAGGCGCUUCGAAGCGAGCGGAGUUCUCGCUUCGGCGUCUCGCGCGCGUCCGUGGGGCUAGGGUCCCUUUCUGAGGGGGGCGCGCACGACGUGAUGCGAUGGCUCCGAAUGUGCGAACAAGAAGAGUCCUAAUGGAUGUAGCUGUCUGGUGGAACAGCGGCCGCGGGCUCGCAGGAAUGCCACGUAGCACUAAUCCUGAGGUGUCAACAGCCCCGGUGGCACUGCCAACACCAGGCAAACCACGUGAAAAUCGGGCUGCAAGGGCCAUAUUGCAGUCACAGUAAUUUGUGACUGGGUUCAUAAAAUUGCUUACUUGGUUCUACAGUAUUGCGUUUUGAGAACUUUAAAACCAUACGAUCUGAUCACAUCCAAAGGCUGUUGAGAUACUUGAUUUGUUUGUUACUCCAAAGAUAAUAUUGUGGACCAGUCAAGGUCACUUCCCUAAAGCCCUGCUUAAGUGCCUUCAUAGGAAAUGUUUCUCUUUCUUGUAAACAAAAAGUAAAAUACAGCUCUUGAUGUCAGAAAUGUGCAGACAUGCAGAAAAUUUUUAUGAGUUUAUUUGAGCCAAAACUGAUGACAUAUGCCAGGGAGCAAGAUCUCAAAUGCUCCAGAGAAUAACAGUUUUACAGAUGGAUGAGGAAAUUGGAGCGUGUGCUGAGUGGCCUCAACCGCUUCUCCCUGCUGCUCAAGCUGAAGGAGCUAGAUCCUGAGCACACUGACCUGCUGGCCUCCCUGCGAAGCCAAGACCUGUCUGUGAUUCCUAGAUGAUUUUGAAGCUGACGCAGCCAGCAAGUCAGUAGUGAAGAGCUAAGACCUGAAGGCAGCAUUUGACAAGUGAUCACCUGGGGAAGGACUGGAGAAGACUGGCUCCUCAAAGUAUCUAGAACCAAGAUCAAUGCCAUGGAGGUGGCCCUGACCAGUUUGGCUCAGUGGAUAGAACAUCGGCCUGCGGACUGAAGGGUCCCGGGUUCGAUUCCAGUCAAGGGCAUGUACCUGGGUUGCGGGCACAUCCCCGUUGGGGGGUGUGCAGGAGACAGCUGAUCGAUGUUUCUCUCUCAUUGAUGUUUCUGGCUCUCUAUCCCUCUCCCUUUCUCUCUGUAAAAAAAAUCAAUAAAAUGUUUUUAAA